rnacentral:rRNA from 1 species
GACGAACGCUGGCGGCGUGCUUAACACAUGCAAGUCGAACGGAAAGGCCCUGCGUUUGUGGGGUGCUCGAGUGGCGAACGGGUGAGUAACACGUGAGUAACCUGCCCUUGACAUUGGGAUAACUUCAGGAAACUGGGGCUAAUACCGGAUAGGAGCUCCUGCUGCAUGGUGGGGGUUGGAAAGUUUCGGCGGUUGGGGAUGGACUCGAGGCUUAUCAGCUUGAUGGUGGGGUAGGUGCGUACCAAGGCUUUGACGGGUAGCCGGCCUGGGAGGGUGACCGGCCUCCUUGGGCCUGAGAUACGGCCCAGACUCCUACCGUCGGCAGCAGUGGGGAAUAUUGCACAGUGGGCGGAAGCCUGAUGCAGCAACGCCGCGUGCGGGAUGACGGCCUUCGGGUUGUAAACCGCUUUCGCCUGUGCCGAAGCGUGAUUGACGGUACUGGGUAAAGAAGCACCGGCUAACUACGUG